GCGGGCGUAGCUCAAUUGGUAGAGCAUCAGCCUUCCAAGCUGAAUGUUGCCGGUUCGAACCCGGUCGCCCGCU
rnacentral:tRNA from 2 species